AGAGUUUGAUCCUGGCUCAGGAUGAACGCUGGCGGCGUGCUUAACACAUGCAAGUCGAACGAUCCUUCGGGAUAGUGGUGGACGGGUGAGUAACGCGUGGGAAUCUGCCCUCAGGAGGGGGAUAACGGCUGGAAACGGCCGCUAAUACCCCAUAUGCCGAGAGGUGAAAUGAAUUUCGCCUGAGGAUGAGCCCGCGUCUGAUUAGCUAGUUGGUGGGGUAAAGGCCUACCAUGGCAACGAUCAGUAGCUGGUCUGAGAGGAUGAUCAGCCACACUGGGACUGAGACACGGCCCAGACUCCUACGGGAGGCAGCAGUGGGGAAUUUUCCGCAAUGGGCGAAAGCCUGACGGAGCAACGCCGCGUGAGGGAUGAAGGCCUCUGGGCUGUAAACCUCUUUUCUCAAGGAAGAAGACCUGACGGUACUUGAGGAAUAAGCCACGGCUAAUUCCGUGCCAGCAGCCGCGGUAAUACGGGAGUGGCAAGCGUUAUCCGGAAUUAUUGGGCGUAAAGCGUCCGCAGGCGGCCUUGUAAGUCUGUUGUUAAAGCGUGGAGCUCAACUCCAUUUAAGCAAUGGAAACUACAAGGCUGGAGUGUGGUAGGGGCAGAGGGAAUUCCCGGUGUAGCGGUGAAAUGCGUAGAUAUCGGGAAGAACACCAGUGGCGAAGGCGCUCUGCUGGGCCAUAACUGACGCUCAUGGACGAAAGCCAGGGGAGCGAAAGGGAUUAGAUACCCCUGUAGUCCUGGCCGUAAACGAUGAACACUAGGUGUCGGGGGAAUCGACCCCCUCGGUGUCGUAGCCAACGCGUUAAGUGUUCCGCCUGGGGAGUACGCACGCAAGUGUGAAACUCAAAGGAAUUGACGGGGGCCCGCACAAGCGGUGGAGUAUGUGGUUUAAUUCGAUGCAACGCGAAGAACCUUACCAGGGUUUGACAUCCUGCGAACCCCUGAGAAAUCGGGGGGUGCCUUCGGGAGCGCAGAGACAGGUGGUGCAUGGCUGUCGUCAGCUCGUGUCGUGAGAUGUUGGGUUAAGUCCCGCAACGAGCGCAACCCACGUCUUUAGUUGCCAGCAUUCAGUUGGGCACUCUAGAGAGGCCGCCGGUGAUAAACCGGAGGAAGGUGUGGAUGACGUCAAGUCAUCAUGCCCCUUACAUCCUGGGCUACACACGUACUACAAUGCUACGGACAAAGGGCAGCAAGCUCGCGAGAGUUAGCAAAUCCCAUAAACCGUGGCUCAGUUCAGAUCGUAGGCUGCAACUCGCCUACGUGAAGGAGGAAUCGCUAGUAAUCGCAGGUCAGCAUACUGCGGUGAAUACGUUCCCGGGCCUUGUACAC
rnacentral:rRNA from 1 species